GGAGUUAGGAAAUGUAGGUGCGAUAAUACCGUGCCUAUUUGACAAAGGCUCCAAAGGAAGCCACGGCUAACUCUGUGCCAGCAGCCGCGGUAGUACAGAGGUGGCAAGCGUUGUUCGGUAUUAUUGGGCGUAAAGAGCACGUAGGUGGAUUUGUUAGUCAGAUGUGAAAGCCUUUCGUUCAACGGAAGAAUUGCAUCUGAAACUACAAACCUUGAGUAUAGAAGGGGAGAGUGGAAC
rnacentral:rRNA from 1 species